GCCCGCCUAGCUCAAUCGGAUAGAGCGUCAGACUUUUAAGGCGGGCAGUCUUGAUCUGAAGGCUGCGAGUUCGACCCUCGCGGUGGGCU